rnacentral:lncRNA from 1 species
GCAUGAAUUGAAUUUAAGAGACAGUUUCUCUCUCUCUUCCAUGGUCAUCUAAGUCCAACAGCAAGACAAAAGUCAGAGUAAUAGGUAGAAGCCCCAAGAUGCAGGAAAUGACCUUGACUUCUUUGAUGUCUGAGCAAGCUUGAAGCACUACACAAUGCCUACUUCUGCUACCCUCAUGGCUGUUGGAACAAAUUGUUCUCACCUGCAUGUUCAGCUGGAGGAAGUCAUCACAUGCUUGUCAUAGACAUUCCCCCAACUCUCUGGUUGUUCUGGGACCUGUCAGUUAGCCUCAGCCUGGUUUAUUCCAUCUGCCAAGAUUGUUUUCCUGGGGCAUGGCCACUGUGCUUGCUAUUGGAGCCAGACACUGCUGCCUAAUUCUGCCUCCUCCAUCUUGUACCUGGG